UGGGGAAUUUUGGACAAUGGGCGAAAGCCUGAUCCAACAAUGCCGCGUGUGUGAAGAAGGCCUUCGGGUUGUAAAGCACUUUUGUCCGGAAAGAAAUCCUCUGGGUUAAUACCUCGGGGGGAUGACGGUACCGGAAGAAUAAGCACCGGCUAACUACGUGCCAGCAGCCGCGGUAAUACGUAGGGUGCAGGCGUUAAUCGGAAUUACUGGGCGUAAAGCGUGCGCAGGCGGUUUUGUAAGACGGAUGUGAAAUCCCCGGGCUUAACCUGGGAACUGCAUUCGUGACUGCAAGGCUAGAGUAUGGCAGAGGGGGGUAGAAUUCCACGUGUAGCAGUGAAAUGCGUAGAGAUGUGGAGGAAUACCGAUGGCGAAGGCAGCCCCCUGGGCCAAUACUGACGCUCAUGCACGAAAGCGUGGGGAGCAAACAGGAUUAGAUACCCUGGUAGUCCACGCCCUAAACGAUGUCAACUAGUUGUUGGGGAUUCAUUUCCUUAGUAACGUAGCUAACGCGUGAAGUUGACCGCCU
rnacentral:rRNA from 1 species